rnacentral:tRNA from 1 species
GCACCCGUAGCUCAAUUGGAUAGAGCAACGGUCUUCGGAACCGUAGGUUACAGGUUCGACUCCUGUCGGGUGUA